GAUGAAGAACGUAGUGAAAUGCGAUAGGUAAUGUGAAUUGCAGAAUUCAGUGAAUCAUCGAAUCUUUGAACGCACAUUGCGCCCUUUGGUAUUCCUUAGGGCAUGCCUGUUCGAGCGUCAUUUAAACCUUCAAGCUAAGCUUGGUGUUGGGUGACUGUCCGCUUCACGGCGGACUCGCCUCAAAAUUAUUGGCGGCCGGUACAUUGGCUUCGAGCGCAGCAGAAACGCGAACUCGGGCCCGUCGUAUUGGCUCCCAGAAGCUAUCUUCACAAUUUUGACCUCGGAUCAGGUAGGGAUACCCGCUGAACUUAAGCAUAUCAAUAAGCGGAGGA
rnacentral:misc_RNA from 1 species